GUGUCGGUGGCCGAGUGGUUAAGGCGAUGGACUGUAGAUCCAUUGGGCAUUGCCCUCACGGGUUCGAAUCCUGUCCGAUACG